UCAUUAAGUUACUUUUCUUGUAGAAUUGUAAAUCAUAAGACAACCUUUAUAGGACAGUAAUUAAGGAAAAAAAGUGAACUUGCUGCGGUGUUAAAUGCGAUGUGGUU